CUUAGCAGAGAUGCUUUGGUGCCUUCGGGAACUCUGAGACAGGUGCUGCAUGGCUGUCGUCAGCUCGUGUUGUGAAAUGUUGGGUUAAGUCCCGCAACGAGCGCAACCCUUUAUCCUUUGUUGCCAGCGGUUAGGCCGGGAACUCAAAGGAGACUGCCAGUGAUAAACUGGAGGAAGGUGGGGAUGACGUCAAGUCAUCAUGGCCCUUACGAGUAGGGCUACACACGUGCUACAAUGGCGCAUACAAAGAGAAGCGACCUCGCGAGAGCAAGCGGACCUCAUAAAGUGCGUCGUAGUCCGGAUUGGAGUCUGCAACUCGACUCCAUGAAGUCGGAAUCGCUAGUAAUCGUGGAUCAGAAUGCCACGGUGAAUACGUUCCCGGGCCUUGUACACACCGCCCGUCACACCAUGGGAGUGGGUUGCAAAAGAAGUAGGUAGCUUAACCUUCGGGAGGGCGCUUACCACUUUGUGAUUCAUGACUGGGGUGAAGUCGUAACAAGGUAGGCGUAGUGCU
rnacentral:rRNA from 1 species